UUACACAUGCAAGUCGGACGCUGAAGCUCAGCUUGCUGGGUGGAUGAGUGGCGAACGGGUGAGUAACACGUGGGUAAUCUGCCCUGUACUUCGGGAUAAGCCUUGGAAACGGGGUCUAAUACCGGGUAGGACACAUCGUCGCAUGGUGGUGUGUGGAAAGCCUUUCGGGGUGGUAUGGGAUGAGCCCGCGGCCUAUCAGCUUGUUGGUGGGGUGAUGGCCUACCAAGGCGGUGACGGGUAGCCGGCCUGAGAGGGUGACCGGCCACACUGGGACUGAGACACGGCCCAGACUCCUACGGGAGGCAGCAGUGGGGAAUAUUGCACAAUGGGCGCAAGCCUGAUGCAGCGACGCCGCGUGAGGGAUGACGGCCUUCGGGUUGUAAACCUCUUUCGCCCAGGACGAAGGGUUUCGGCUUGACGGUACUGGGAGAAGAAGCACCGGCUAACUACGUGCCAGCAGCCGGGGGUUAAUGCA
rnacentral:rRNA from 1 species